UGGGGAAUUUUGGGCAAUGGGCGAAAGCCUGAUCCAGCAAUGCCGCGUGUGUGAAGAAGGCCUUCGGGUUGUAAAGCACUUUUGUCCGGAAAGAAAUCCUUGGCUCUAAUACAGUCGGGGGAUGACGGUACCGGAAGAAUAAGCACCGGCUAACUACGUGCCAGCAGCCGCGGUAAUACGUAGGGUGCAAGCGUUAAUCGGAAUUACUGGGCGUAAAGCGUGCGCAGGCGGUUUGCUAAGACCGAUGUGAGAUCCCCGGGCUCAACCUGGGAACUGCAUUGGUGACUGGCAGGCUAGAGUAUGGCAGAGGGGGGUAGAAUUCCACGUGUAGCAGUGAAAUGCGUAGAGAUGUGGAGGAAUACCGAUGGCGAAGGCAGCCCCCUGGGCCAAUACUGACGCUCAUGCACGAAAGCGUGGGGAGCAAACAGGAUUAGAUACCCUGGUAGUCCACGCCCUAAACGAUGUCAACUAGUUGUUGGGGAUUCAUUUCCUUAGUAACGUAGCUAACGCGUGAAGUUGACCGCCUGGGGAGUACGGUCGCAAGAUUAAAACCCCAAAUUGAAUUGACGGGGUCAUAGCUGUUUCCU
rnacentral:rRNA from 1 species